rnacentral:lncRNA from 1 species
UUCCCCUCUUUUCCUCCUCAUCCUCCUCCAAGCCGUUUACGAGCAUCUCCUCUCUUUUCUCCUCAUCCUUCUCCUCCAAGCCAUCCAUAAGCCAUCCUCUCUCUCCUCUAAGCCGUCCAUAAGCCAUCCUCUCUCCUCUUCUCCCUUCCCUCCUCACCCUCCUUUUACAAGUUGCCCAUAAGCCAUCCCCUCUUUCUCUUCCUUCUUAUUGCCUUCUCCUCCUCCAAUCCCACCCAUAAGGCCUUUGAUGUCAUCUUCCUCCUCCACAUCGACCUCCACG